GAUGAAGAACGCAGCGAAAUGCGAUACUUGGUGUGAAUUGCAGAAUCCCGUGAACCAUCGAGUCUUUGAACGCAAGUUGCGCCCGAAGCCAUUAGGCCGAGGGCACGCCUGCCUGGGCGUCACACGUCGUUGCCCCCCCAUCUAAUCCUUCGGGAUUGCGGGGGGCGGAUGAUGGCUUCCCGUGCGCCUCGUCGCGCGGUUGGCAUAAAUGCCAAGUCCUCGGCGACGCACGCCACGACAAUCGGUGGUUGCGAAACCUCGGUUGCCCGUCGUGUGCGGUCGUCGCGCAUCGAGGGCUCGAAAAAAUUGCCGGGCUCCGGCUCGACUUUCAACGCGACCCCAGGUCAGGCGGGGUUACCCGCUGAAUUUAAGCAUAUCAAUAAGCGGAGGA
rnacentral:misc_RNA from 1 species